rnacentral:lncRNA from 1 species
UAACUAAAUAGGUGACACGACAUUCAGUACAACCAAGAAAAUACCUCAUCCCCUUAAAUGUGUAGACCAAGGUUGGAUAAGACAUCAUCUCUCAAAACACGCACACGCUGCACGCACACACAGUGUGGUUAUAAGUCGUAACAAAUCCAAAAUUGUUCUCCACGAAAAAGUAAGUCCAAUAUUCUCAUCCAAAGGGAAUUUUGAGACUUCAUGUCAUCUUCAUGGCCAAAAUAAGACCCUUCUUUCAUGGAUAGCACUGAAAACUGCAAUGGCUAUUUGAGAACACAAAGAUAGAGUGAAGAUACGCUACUCACUGAAACUUGAAACAAUUUGUAGAAUGCCAUAUUCUCUGAUCUCACACUCUUAGUUCCAAUAUGUGUGUCAAAAUGACACGAGAAUGGACAAGAUAGCAGUGUGAUGCUCUUCUCUACUGAAUGAUGCAAUGAACAUACAAAGACUCGCAAAUCGAAUUAUCGGUUUGAUCCUGGAUUAGGAUAUCUAACAGACAUACUAUAGAAGACAGGCAUCACUCAGUUAGGCCAGGAUCACCGUCUCGGAAUUAAUAACAGCCUAACACGCAGAGUGAUUGCCAUACCAAGUUUCAUACUUUGUUGUUCAUGCAAAUCUGAAUCUAGCGGGCACUUCCCCUCUGCAAGCAUCGGCGUAGUCUUCAGCCAGGUGGGGUGCAGCUUCCUUAUGAGGACAUAUGAACUUGUCCAUGAAUACCUUCUCGCUGAUACAGAGUGUACAAUAGUAGUCCCGNNNNN